UCGCACGGGGUAGCAAUACCCAGUGGCGAACGGGAGAGUAAUGAAUCGCUAACGUGCCCCGGACUCUGAGAUAGCUAUCCGAAAGGGUAGGUAAUAUCAGAUAAUAUAACUUACAGGCAUCUGUGAGUUCUCAAAGGUCCGCCGGUCUGGGAGCGGGCGAUUUCGUAUCAGCUAGUUGGUGAGGUAACGGCUCACCAAGGCGACGACGCGUAGCCGGACUGAGAGGUUGGCCGGCCUCAUUGGGACUGAGACACUGCCCAGACUCCUACGGGGGGCUGCAGUAACGAAUCUUCCGCAAUGCACGAAAGUGUGACGGAGCGACGCCGCGUGUGGGACGAAGCCCUUCGGGGUGUAAACCACUGUCAGGGGUUACCAAGUUCUGAGGAGCCCCAGAGGAAGGCACGGCUAACUCUGUGCCAGCAGCCGCGGUAAGACAGAGGUGCCAAGCGUUA
rnacentral:rRNA from 1 species